AUACGGAGGGGGCUAGCGUUGUUCGGAUUUACUGGGCGUAAAGGGCGCGUAGGCGGUAUGUCAUGUCAGGGGUGAAAGGCCUGGGCUCAACCCAGGAACUGCCUUUGAAACUGGCAAACUAGAGUCCGAUAGAGGAUGGCGGAAUUCCCAGUGUAGAGGUGAAAUUCGUAGAUAUUGGGAAGAACACCAGUGGCGAAGGCGGCCAUCUGGAUCGGCACUGACGCUGAGGCGCGAAAGCGUGGGGAGCAAACAGGAUUAGAAACCCCAGUAGUCC
rnacentral:rRNA from 1 species